rnacentral:rRNA from 1 species
GACGAACGCUGGCGGCGUGCUUAACACAUGCAAGUCGAACGGGGUCCAUCCUUCGGGAGAAGACCUAGUGGCGAACGGGUGAGUAUCACGUGAGCAACCUGUCCCAAAGUCGGGGAUAAGCCAGGGAAACUUGGUCUAAUACCCGAUGUCCUCCUCGGUUACUAGCCGUCUGAGGAAAGAUUUAUCGCUUUGGGAGGGGCUCGCGGCCUAUCAGCUUGUUGGUGAGGUAACGGCUCACCAAGGCUUCGACGGGUAGCUGGUCUGAGAGGAUGAUCAGCCACACUGGGACUGUGACACGGCCCAGACUCCUACGGGAGGCAGCAGUGGGGAAUCUUGCGCAAUGGGC